CAGGUUAGUAUAUCCAGACUCUGUGACUCAGUGACUGUGACUCCCAGGUAUGGGGACCAUAAAGGAAGCCUUUGGAGGAGGAGCUUACCGUGGAAGGGAGGGAGGCAACAGGGAAUAGAUGAGUGAGAAAGAAGACAUCUCAGAAGAUGCCGGAGUUAGAAGCAACAGAUGGGAGGGUAUAAGAUGCUGCAGUCUGUUUGCUGACUCUGUUCGGUAAAAGUUUAAAACCAGAAGCUCGAGAAGACGGGUCCAGGUUUUCCAUUAAAUACAGCAUAUCAGGAGAGGCUCGAGAGCCAGCCACGAUGUUGAUUCCACUGGUCUCUGAAGAUGUUUCUG